rnacentral:tRNA from 1 species
CUAGGGGUCUAAUUGGAGUUACAGCUGCCAGGCUACGUCAGAGCCACAGAGCCAGAUUCAAGCCACAUCUGCAACCCACACCACAGCUCACAGCAACACUGGAUCCUUACCCACUGAGCAAGGCCAGGGAUCAAACCCACAAACUCAUGGUUCCUAGUUGGAUUUGUUUCCCCUGUGCCAUGAAAGGAACGUCCGGAAAAAAAAAUUUUUAUACAAGUUCUGCAUUGCAUUCUGGUGUUGAUCUGUAAUGGAUACAUAUAGUUCCUUUCUCGUUUGUGAUCAUCUGGUAAGAAUGAUGACCUUUUCCAAGGUCUGAGUCAGUUCAGUUCAACUCCAAGUAACUCCACUAAAAUAAAUGUUUCCCCUACAACCAAGUCAGCAUAUGAAUGGUAUGAAUGAGCAUAGUUAGCAAAAAUAAUAUAGGGAGUUCCCUGGUGGUCUAGGUGGUUAGGACUCGGAGCUUUCACCAGUGCAGCUUGGGUUUGAUCCCUGAUCUAGGGAUUAAGAUCUUACAUCAAGCUGCUGCAAGCCAUGGUUUAAAAAAUCCAAAAAACCAAAAACACAAAUAAUAAUAAUACAGAUAGACUCUGUUAGAUAGGAAGUACACUGAAUUGAUGUAUUCCAAAAUUAAAUAACUGAAAAGUUAUGUUUUAAGUUUACAUCUAUUUUUAUAGUUCCUUCAUAAAAGAGCAUUUCCCAGUAACAAUUAACCACUUGGUUUGAUACUUUGUGAAAGAAUUCUUGAGAUAUUUAUAAGUACAUAUAUGUCUUUAACCAUUUGGAUUGUUCUAACAAAAUACCAUAGAUGGGGUGGCUUAUAAACAACAAACAUUUACUUCUUACAAUUCUGGAGGCUGGGAAGUCCAAGAUCAAGGUGUUGGCAGAUUCGAUGUCAGGUGAGGGCUUCUUGAUUCAUAGAAGCUGUAUUCUAUUUCCUCGCAUGGCAGAAUGAGUGAGGGAGUUUCUGGAGUCUCUUUCAUAAGGGCACUAAUCGCAUUCUUGAGGGCUCUACCCUCAUGACUUAAUCACUUCCCAAAGGCCCACCUCUUAAUACUCUCACCUUACCUUUCAGGUUAGAAUAGUGAUUAUUCUAAUAGUGAUUAUAUAUGAUUAUAUAUGUCAUAAUUAAAGAAUACAGCAAGUUCUUUUUGGUUUGGGUUUUGUUUGUUUGUUUGUUUUUUGUUUUUUGCUUCUUAGGGCCACACCUGUGGCAUAUGGAAGUUUCCAGGCUAGGGGUCAAAUCAGAGCUGUAGCUGCUGCUGCCCUACACCACAGCCACAGGAAUGUGGGUUUCAAGCCACAUCUGCAACCUACACCACAGCUCAUAGCAAUGCCAGAUCCUUAACCCACUGAGCAAGGCCAGGUAUUAAACCUCAUUCUCAGGGAUACUAGGCAGGUGCAUAACCUGCUGAGCCAUAAGGGGAGCUCCCUAUAGCCAAGUUUUCAUAAGGAAAUACUUUGUUAUUUUCUAAAUAAAAAUUUUGAACAAAUGUUUGCUGAACAUCAUAGUGCUAAGUGUUGGGAGGAAUGCAAAAAAGUGAAAGACAGUCCCCUUCCUCAAAAACACAUGUCCACACACUCUCAUUGAAGAAACCAAGCAUGAAUUGUUUAAAAAGUACAAGGCCCCAGCAGAUUGGAAGUCAGCAAUGUGAAGGGUGGUGGAUAAAAGAAACUCCUCAAGAGCCAGCACAGAGACUUCCUGGAAACCAAGUGACUCGAGCAGUUCAUAAAGCACUUGUUCCACCCUGGCUAUGUAUUAGAUUCACGUGGAUUACAUCUAAACACCCUGAUGCCUGGGCGCCACCCUCAGAGAUCCCCAGCUGAAUCUAAGGAGGUUGCUCUAGUGUUGGUCCCAGGACUGCCUGCUGCUCCAAGAUCAGAAUGUCGGUCAGCUAUGUCACAGAGCACAAUGUUCAGUUCUGCUGACAUCCUUCUUAGGAAAAUAACAUGACAUGACAUUCUCGAUGAAAGAAGCAGUAGGUUGAUUACCCUCUGGUAAAAGGGUCUCAUCUUCUUGGGUCCAUGUUUUGAGUAGCGCUGCUAAAUCAUGAGUGGAAUUUACUCACAUAGGUUUGGAGGAACAGAAGGAAGCAAGCAUUCAUGAAAAUAGCAAAAACAAAGGUACAGGAAUGGGGAGAAACAAGAUAUUUCAGAGCGACUUUUCUCUAGAGAUUUGAUGACAUCAUUAAUAUUCACUAUAACACUAAAGGUUUAUUAAUGAAGAACAAUUUAAGAUAUUACAAAAUGGUCAGCAUCUCUUUCCACAUUAUUCCCUUUAUUCCACAUUCCCCCCUUUUUAAUGCACUUAAUGUUUGUAAGUAAAAAUUCCAGGUUUAAUUUACUUUUCUUUGUAUCUGUAGCCUUUUCUGCCUGUGCUGCACCACUUAGCUUACUGUCUAGUUUGGAAUAUGUGUUCAAUAGACAAUUUUUCCAUUUUUUAUUGUGGCAAAAUUUACACAUCUGUAAAGUAAACAAUGACAUAAUGUGCUGCCAGGUACCAAUUACCCAGCUUCAAGAAUUAUCAAUACUCUGCCAUUUCUGCUUCUUUGUAACUCCACCCACUCCCUGGCCCUGAAUUAAUUAUUGCUUUUUAAGUUUCAUCGGAGGUAAAGUUUACCUGUACCAAAAUGACGCAAUAACAGAGCCACACAGUUGGCUGCACGAUUUUGGCAAAUGCGUACAUCUGAGGAGCCCACACCCCUGCAACAGAGAACAUCUCUGUCACUCCAGAAGUUUCCUUCACAUCUCUUGUCAGCCAACCUCACCAACCAGGGGCAACUGAUAGGAUUUUUUUUUUUCGCCUUAGUUGAAAUUUGCCUGUUCCAAAAUACCAUUUAAUGAAGUGCACAGCAUUUAUCUUCUGCAUCUCGAUUCUUUUGCUUCACAUAAUGUGGGGUUCAUCCAUUCAAUAAACAUUUUUUUUUAAAUAAAUAAUUCUAGGCUAGAAAGUGGCAGGAGCAGAGGGCUCAAGAUGAGGACAGAUUGGGUGAGUGGGUUGGCAUCAUCUGUGAUAGUCCCUGGAAGCCAAAACAAGGAACUUUUACUCUGUUUUCCUGGCUGCAAGUCAGCAGUCUGCUGCAUCACUGCUGUGAGGGCCUAAGAAACAAUUCUGACAACACAUCUCACUCCCCACCGCUUUUGUGAGUCACUGCUGUGCCGCUGAGUGGCAGCGCCUGUUGCCAAACUCUCUGUGGAGCCGCUGCAGUCACACCUCCCCUGAAGAGCUGGCCUGGUCACAAGUCCCAUCCCACACCCCCUGGAGAGAUAGGAAUAUGGAGUGGAGAUCUUGGCCCGUGCUUUUGAAAGACUGUGUGUGCCUUCUGGAGGUAGUGGAGCUGGGAAGUCAGUGAUAGGAAAAGCUGGGCACUGGGAGUGUCAGGGCCCCUGUCUUGAUAGCUCCGGACUGGCUGUGUACUGCUAGUGGGGGGACUCAGCUGUCCUGCAGGGCUGCUCAGGCAGUUUAGAUCCAUGUGGGUGCAGUAGGAGGUCGAGAAUGCCGCAGACCAACCAUGGAAUUCAGCAGCGAUAAAAGAUUGGUUGACUGGGUCAGGCUCAGAGCCACAGCACUCGGGCCCUGGAAUUGGAAUCCAGGUCAAGGAUGAAGAAUACAGUCUGGACUCCAGCUAACUUUUGGAACCUAGAAAGUCCAAGGCAGAAGAGCAAGGAGGGUGUUUUCUUCUAGCAAAAAGCCUAAGCAGGGUUAUACUGGAGAAGCAGUUGUCCAGCAGAGAAAAAUGUGCCUGGAGGCUGAUCCUGGGUGAUCUUUUCCUUCCUAAACAACCUGUUGUCUUUCCUCAAAUUCCAGAAAAUCAUACAUUUAGAGGUCUUAAGAAAAGGGCAGGAGUUCCCGUCAUGGCGCAGUGGUUAACGAAUCCGACUAGGAACCAUGAGGUUGAGGGUUCGAUCCCUGGCCUUGCUCAGUGGGUCGAGGAUCUGGCGUUGCUGUGAGCUGUGGUGUAGGUUGCAAACGCGGCUCGGAUCCCGAGUUGCUGUGGCUCUGGCGUAGGCCAGUGGCUGUGGCUCCGAUUAAACCCCUACCCUGGGAAUCUCCAUAUGCCUCGAGAGUGGCCCUAGAAAAGGCAAAAAGACCAAAAAAAAAAAAAAAAAAAAAAAAAAAAGGCAGGAGAACCUGUAAGUGCCUUAUUGUAAUUGAUAGGAUCAAAGCCCCAAGUGCUAGAACCUGGGUGUUGCUAGAUAGCAAUUUACCCCCAAAUCACUCCAAAAUGUGUGGCUUAAAAAACAGCUAUUAUCUGAUCUUUUCUGUGGGUCAGGAAUCAGGACACAGUUUAGUGGGGUCAUACAGCUCAGGGUUUUCACAGGCUCCAAUCAAGGGGUCAGCCAGGGCUGCUGUCACAUCUGAAGGUUCCCCAAGAGAAUUUCCCACUACAAGUCUCACCCCUACAGGUGUCGUAGGAUUCAGCUCUUAUGAGAUGUUAGGAUGAGGGUCUUGAUUCUUUACUGGCUGUUAGUCAGAGGCUGCCCAGAGUCUCUUGCCAAGUGAACUUUUCUACUUACUUUAAUGAGAGCAACAUGUGAGAAGAGUCAGAAAGACAGAAUGUAUAAAAAGAUAAAAGUCAGGGAAUUUCCUUCAUGGCUCAGUGGUUAAUGAACCGGACUAGGAUCCAUGAGGAUGCUGGUUCGAUUCCUGGCCUCUCUCAGUGGGUUUAGGGUCCAGUGUUGCAAUGAGCUGUAGUGUAGGUCACAGACUCGGCUCAGAUCCCAAGUUGCUGUGGCUGCAGUGUGAGCUGGCGGCUAUAGCUCCAACUUGACCCCUAGCCUGGGAACUUCCACAUGCCGUGGGUGUGCCCCCCCCAAAAAAAAAAGUCAUUCUUUUAUAACCUCAACCAAAAAGGACCAUCCCUUUGAGGAUUUUCAUUAAGAUUAAGUCACAGGUCCAACCCAUCCAUGCAUAGGCAUGAAUACAAGAGGUGGAGGCACUGGAAGUCAGGUGGGAAGUUGCCCACCACCCUAGGGGACUGGAAGAGUGGAAAGACCAUGGGCCCUGAUAGUCCAAUGGAGGUCAUGGGGACCCAGAUGAUGGGUGAGGUGAGGUUGGGAUCCAGAACCUCAGCCCACACCCAUCCAAGCCAUGGGAGAGCUUGAGAAAGAGGGCACGAUGGGGACAAACUAGGGAGCACCCGGUUCUGACCUUAUGCAGGGUGUAGACUGAACUUCAUUGCACAAUAAACUGACCUGUCAUCUGGACAAUCAAGUCUGUCCCUGAGAACUCUGAGGGACCCCGAACUCUAAGGGACUCCAAAUGAACUCUAAUUGGCCAUUUUUUAGUGAUUUCCUCCUGAUUCCCAGAGAACUGACUGGUGAAACUGACCUUGGCCAUGGUGUUGAACCACACAGGCAAAAGAAGCUAUUUCUGGGUUUUUUUGACACUGUUUAAGGCCUAAACAUUGUUUUGCCUUAAUUGUGUCUGCUACUUUUCUAGAAGCUUUUCUUCUGUUUUUGACAAGGAUGUAACAUCUGCCUUCUCUAUCUCACAAAGUUCUCAUGGGAGCCAAAGGAGGUAGUGUUCAUAAAUGCAUUUUAAAAGUUUUUUAAAGGAAAAAUAUCAGAUAUUCAAACCACAUAUUGUUAUUAUCAUUGCUGUUGCCUUAAACAAUUGGUUGUCAGAAAAGAGCAAAGCUUUCCAGAUAAGCUUUGGCUCCUUCCGCUUCUGUUCUGACAGCAGGUGAUCCUCCAUCCCCAGAGGAGGGCUGUUUUUGGUGACUCUGAGGUUCACUCCGCUCCAGUCACUGACUGAGGUUGGCCAUGCCCUCCCCAGGCUAGGGGCAUACAUGUGCCCCUUAGUUUUGAUUACCCAGCCGCUCCCUGUGUAAAGCACAGGGCUUUCGGCCUGCCCCAGGGGCCUCCCAUUUUCACCCUCUGUGCUCUAUCUCCCUCUGCAUGAAACUGUUCCCGGGUGCCAGGCACUCAUUGUUGCGUUUCCUUUGCACUUUUGACCUGGAUCUAUUUCUUUUUUGUGGUUUGUUUUGUUUUCGUUUUUUUGGGGGUUUUUCUUUUUUUGGCUGCACUACUGACAUGCAGAAGUUCCUGGGCCAGGGAUCAAACCCACAUCACAGCAGUAGCCCUGGCCUCAGCAGUGACAAUGCCAGAUACUUAACCUGUUGAGCCACCAGGGAACUGCAUGGAUCUAUUUCAAUCAUCACGAUUGCUUUGCAAAGUAGAUAUGGUAAUUCUUCCCUUUUUUUUUUUUUUUUUUUUUUGGUCUUUCUGCCAUUUCUUGGGCCACUCCUGAGGCAUAUGGAGGUUCCCAGGCUAGGGGUCUAAUCAGACCCCUAGCCUACACAACAACCACAGCAACAGCAGGAUCCGAGCUGCGUCUAUGACCUACACUACAGCUCACAGCAACGCCGGAUCCUUAACCCACUGAGCAAGGCCAGGGAUUGAACCCACACCCUCAUGGUUCCUAGUCGGAUUCGUUAACCACUGAGUCACGACAGGAACUCCGUUAAUUCUCAUCUUCUGAAGCCCAAGCCUUUACAGCUAGUGACAGCCAGGAUCCAAACGCCGGCCCACUCGCUCCCUUGUACUCAGGUGCCCAGUGCCCACUCCCAUUAGGUCAGGAGACACUGUUCUUCAAGUUCUGUGAUUCCCCACAGUAACUGGGGAUGUUGCCCACAGGUAGAAAAAGUGAUAUGGGCAAACACCUGACAGACACACAUAUUUCUGCCACAAUUUAUUACUGAUACAUUGUAAUGGAUGAAAAAGAUUAACUUGUAUUUU